AUGGAUGAGCCUGUGGUGACAGAGAAGAAGAAAGAAGAGAAAUCGAAGCAAAAACUUGAAAAGGAAAAAGAAGCAGUGAAAGUAAAUGAGAAAGAUGGAGAUAAAGCAGCAGCAUAUGAUCAUGAAGAUGAGUUAUAUGAAUCAGAGGGUGAUGACUUGUGGGCACCAGAUUCUGAUGAUGAAGAGGUAUUCAUGAAGUUCAAGGCAUUCAGAACAGAGGAUCCUCAUUGUCCCAAGUUUCAUGUUGGUCAAGUUUUCCAAACUGUUGAGCUCUUGAGGAAAUCCAUCAAGGAGUACUGCUGCAAAAAUAGGGUAGAUGUGAAGUUGCCAGUGAAUGAUAAGAAAAGAGUGAAGGUAACAUGUGAUGAGGACUGUACUUGGUAUCUUUGGGCUUCAUAUGAUAGAAGGACCAAGUGUUUCAUGGUGAAGAAAUAUGUGGAUGAGCACACUUGUAACAAGAAGUGGAAGAUCAAGGCUUUCACAACACCAUUUCUAGCACAUAAGUAUCUUGAGAGCUUUAGAGCUGACCAAGACAUGAAUUUUAAAAACUUUUCUAGAGUUGUUCAAAAGGAGUGGCAUAUGACCCCAACCAGGACCAAGUUACAAAGAGCUAGGAGGCUAGCAAUGAAAAUAAUUUAUGGUGAUGAAGAAGGCCAAUACAACUUGCUUUGGGACUAUGGUAAUGAGUUGAGAAGAAGUAACCCUGGGAGCUCAUUCUUUGUUGCACUAGAUAGUCAUGCAAGGUUUAAUAAAGCCUAUCUGUGUCUAGAUGCAUGCAAAAGAGGGUUCUUGCAGGGAUGUAGGCCUAUGAUAUUCCUUGAUGGCUGUCAUAUCAGGACAAGGUACUUAGGACAGCUACUCAGUGUUGUUGGGAUAGACCCAAAUGAUUGUAUUUUUCCAAUUGCAGUAGCUGUAGUUGAAGUGGAAGACAAGCCUAAUUGGUGCUGGUUCCUUGAAAGACUAAAGAAUGAUCUUGCCAUAUUUAAUACUGCUCCAUGGACCAUUAUGUCAAACAAACAAAAGGGCCUUAUCAAUGUUGUGGAUGAGUUAUUUCUAGAGUCGGAACACAGGUUCUAUGUCAGGCACAUGUGGCAGAACUUUCAACAACAAUUCAAAGGGGAUGUUCUUAAGAAUCAACUUUGGAAGAUAGCAAGAAGUACCACUUCUGUCAAGUAUGAGCAGUACAUGGCUGAGAUGAAGGACAUCAGCUUGGAUGCUUACAAGUGGUUGCAUGAGUUGGAACCAUACACAUGGGUUAGAUCAUUUCAAAGUGAUCUUCCAAAGUGUGAUAUAUUUCUCAACAAUAACUGUGAAGUUUUCAACAAGUACAUAUUAGAUGCUAGAGAGCUAUCUAUACUUUCUAUGCUAGAAAGGAUCAAAGGCCAACUGAUGCAGAGGCACUACAUCAAACAACUUCAGGCAGAGAAGAUGAAAGGAAAUUUUUGUCCAAAGAUCAAGAAAAAGGUGGAGAAGCUAACUGAUUGGGCAAACCUAUGCUAUGUGGAUGGAGCUCGAGAUGGGGUGUUCCAGGUAGGGGACAGGUGUGUGAACUACCUUGUGGACUGGCACACCAAUGAAUGCAGCUGUAAGAGGUGGCAGAAGGGUGGCACACCUUGUGUACAUGCCAUAGAAUGUGCUAGACAUGAAAGAGUUGACCCUCUUUCAUUGGUUAACCAAUGUUAUUCUGUGAGCAUGUUCAAAAUGGCAUACAAGAACAUAAUCUAUCCAUGUAGAGACAUGACAGAAUGGGAGAACAUGAAUGGGCCACCACUUCUGCCACCAUUGUACAUCAAGCAAGUAGGCAGGCCAUGCAAGAGCGGAAGAAAAGAACCAGGUGAAGUAAUCUGCAGUAAUGGUGGCAAGAAAAUGUCUAGGCAUGGUGUCAUCAUGCACUGCAAAAACUGUGGAGAGGCAGAUCACAACACUAAAGGAUGCAAGUACCUCAAGGCAGGAGUACCUCCUCCAAAUAUGCAGGCAGCAUCAGCACCACAAGAAAAUCAUGAAGCAACAUCACCACCUGAGCAACAUGUGCAAGAUGAAGAUCCUGUCAUUACUCAGGAACACAACCCUGCAGAAAAUCCUAUCAUAGAAGAUCUUAUGGUUGAUCAAAUGAUAGAAAGGAGGCAUGUGCCAAGAGUGAUUGCACAAGGACCUGUUCUAGAGUCUACAUUCCUUUCUAUUGCUCAAUCAAAACCAAGGGAGCACAAGCACCAUUUAGCAAGGAGAGAUGCCCAAGAAGUUACUUGCAUUAAAAAAGCAGAGAGACAAAGACAUAGAAGACAAGAAAAAUGCUAUACUUGCAGCAUGGAGAGAAGAACAAGAAAAGAAGGCUCAAGAAGCUGCCAAGAAGAGACAUCUACAAGAGGAGAAGAAAACAACAGAGGCAGAGAGGAAGAGACAGGCAGCUGCUCAGAAUAG
rnacentral:rRNA from 1 species